rnacentral:rRNA from 1 species
GACGAACGUUGGCGGCGUGCUUAACACAUGCAAGUGGAGCGACGAACCGGGGCUUGCCCCGGGGCAGAGCCGCGAACGGGUGAGUAACACGUGGGUAACCUGCCUCAAUGAUUGGGACAACCCGGGGAAACUCGGGCUAAUACCAAAAUGUGUUCACUCCUUCCAAGGGGAGUGAGGAAAGGAAGCUUCGGCCUCCGCAUUGAGAUGGGCCCGCGGCCCAUUAGCUUGUGGUGAGGUAACGGCUCACCAAGGCUUCGAUGGGUAGCUGGUCUGAGAGGACGAUCAGCCACACUGGGACUGAGACACGGCCCAGACUCCUACGGAGGCAGCGUGGGAAGUCUUGCACAAUGCGCGAAAGCGUGAUGCAGCAACGCCGCGUGGGGGAAGACGGCC